UCAGUCUGAGGUUUGAAUUAAGACCACUGCUUUUUGUAUUUCUGUUUUUUAUAACUUGUCUUGUAGUGAUCCGGACAGGUAAUGUCCUGCUAUGAAAUGUCGGGGGGCCAGACACAUUCUGGUGGAAGACGGUUGUAAAAAUAAUAUCUGGACCCCGGUCUCAGACCUCAGAAACGCAGAGUGCCGGAUC